GAUGAACGCUGACAGAAUGCUUAACACAUGCAAGUCAACUUGAACUUCGGUUUGGGUGGCGGACGGGUGAGUAACGCGUAAAGAACUUGCCUCACAGUUAGGGACAACAUUUGGAAACGAAUGCUAAUACCUGAUAUUAUGAUUUUAGGGCAUCCUAGAAUUAUGAAAGCUAUCUGCGCUGUGAGAGAGCUUUGCGUCCCAUUAGCUAGUUGGAGAGGUAACGGCUCACCAAGGCGAUGAUGGGUAGCCGGCCUGAGAGGGUGAACGGCCACAAGGGGACUGAGACACGGCCCUUACUCCUACGGGAGGCAGCAGUGGGGAAUAUUGGACAAUGGACCAAGAGUCUGAUCCAGCAAUUCUGUGUGCACGAUGAAGUUUUUCGGAAUGUAAAGUGCUUUCAGUUGGGAAGAAAAAAAUGACGAUACCAACAGAAGAAGAGACGGCUAAAUACGUA
rnacentral:rRNA from 1 species